AGCGAACGCUGGCGGCAGGCCUAACACAUGCAAGUCGAACGAUCCUUCGGGAUAGUGGCGGACGGGUGAGUAACACGUGGGAACGUGCCCUUUGGUUCGGAACAACUCAGGGAAACUUGAACUAAUACCGAAUGUGCCCUUCGGGGGAAAGAUUUAUCGCCAUUGGAGCGGCCCGCGUCUGAUUAGCUAGUUGGUGAGGUAAUGGCUCACCAAGGCGACGAUCAGUAGCUGGUCUGAGAGGAUGAUCAGCCACACUGGGACUGAGACACGGCCCAGACUCCUACGGGAGGCAGCAGUGGGGAAUCUUGCGCAAUGGGCGAAAGCCUGACGCAGCCAUGCCGCGUGAAUGAUGAAGGUCUUAGGAUUGUAAAAUUCUUUCACCGGGGACGAUAAUGACGGUACCCGGAGAAGAAGCUCCGGCUAACUUCGUGCCAGCAGCCGCCGUAACAC
rnacentral:rRNA from 1 species